AUCACAGCUUUUGAACGUCCUCAUUCCUUUCAUGCUAAACGAAACAGGCUUGAAUUCUCUAAAUUUCUCUGGCAGCCCAGCAGACAGGCAUAGGCUGCCUUUGUWUUCCCAUCUGUUACCARCUUUUUCCAUUUGGAACAGUAGUAUAUAUGAACUGCUACAGAUGCAUGGAAAUGCUUCCGACCAGUCUGAAUGGAGACGUUUCUCCCAGCUGUGGAAUGCCACUGGCAAUGUGUUGACCACCAAAUGGAACUUAACAGAAGUGGAUGAAUAUGUGAGACUCCUGGAAAUUAUGAAUAAAGCUCUAAUUCUUGUCGACAUUGGGGUAGCUCCCAGAAAAACAGAAGUAUUUCGGAUCCUUAGUAAUACUAGUGGAGGAAUGAAAUUGUCAGAUCUGAAGGAUUUGUAUAGUUCAUUAAAACUCUUUUUCAAUUUAACUUCUGCUGCAAACAGCACGGUCGACUUAAAAAGAAUAUUUCAAGAAAUUGCCCCACUGUAUGAGAUUGCUGGUGAAAGAUUGUUCUAUCCUCAUCCCUACGGGAAAGAAAACCAAGAUGUUCUAACAAUGGCUGUAGUAAUUUGGAAUCAGAUCAUUUUAAAUAGGACUCAUUUUAAUACAGAGAAAGCAUGGGAGAUUAUCAAAAUGCUARCACUUCAUGCACUGCCACUUGAAGACACAGGGGAUUAUCUCAGCACAAAUGAAGAAGUGUCAUCGUUAUUUUCUGAUUUCUUGUUGACCUCUGUAACAUCUGAAAACUUUGCAGAACAGUUCUUGGUCCUUGAGCAGCUUCUUGCUGCCAUGGCAAAGGUGAACACCAGCGAUUAUUAUGUGCUGAUCUCCUCUUUGUCUAAACUAAUGCAGAGACUCCAGGGUUCCUCUCACGGAAACAAGGGGAGUGAACUUCAUCGUGUCUGGAAGAUUGCUGAAAUGCUCCAGUCCAUGAACUGGGGCAGCAUUGAUAGUCUCAAUUCCCAAUCRUUUCUAGACAUACUGCAAAAUCAGUUUAAAACCAUGAAAAAUGAUUCCAGUCUUCCCUUCAGUAAAGAAAUGAAGCAGCUGAUAAACUUUUUAUCUGCCAUAUUGGAGGUGUAUAGUGAAGAAGACUCCAGAGGAGCCAACAUCUCCAUAUACUCACAAGCCAUAGAAAGGAGUAUAUUCUUUUUAAAAGAUCUGCAGAGAAGUUAUAAUAUCAGCGAGCUCGAAACUAUCAAUCUAUUAUUUAAUUUUUAUAGUAAAUAUACCCAGAGGCUGUUUGAAACGUGGAGAGUAGGAAUGAAAAUCCUUCAUGAUACCAACUUAAACAAAACACUGGAAGAAAAAAUGAGCGUUGUCUAUCAUUUUUCACAUUGGCUACUGCAGAAGGAGUUCAGUGAGUCUGUUUUACAGCACAGUACUUCAUUAGAGGCAAAAAUUUGGGACUUCUUGCAUUUAGCCUUGAGUCCUUU
rnacentral:lncRNA from 1 species